rnacentral:lncRNA from 1 species
UGGACGCGGAGGAAUUGCCAGGCCCGGAAUCGGAACUGACGCUAAAGAGAGAACACCUGUCUUUGUGCCUGAACCAAGCCUGAGAGCACAACUGUCCAACAGGA